ACAACCCAGGGAACAACAGCAUCACCAACACACACACGCCACCCAUCUGGCUUUCACAUCAGUCAGCACUCCCCACCGGAGCGGCCCUGUCAUUGUCUCCAACAGAAAGUCAUGUAACACAGAACCAGCAUGGCUUCUCUGAACCUGGAAUAUGUACGCAUGAGAUCAUGUCUAACUGUCCACUGUAAACAUAGUUAGUGUCUCUGCGCUCCCAUUUUAGGCUUUGCCCUUUGUCACACUAAUGAUUGAAACAGAUGUUAUAACCAUGACAACAUGUACUAUAUUAUGGUAGAAACAUCUUCCAUCCUUGAAUCAUUCCCACUGUUGUUUUUAUUAGUGAACAACAGUGUAGGACUCAGAACGGGUCACAUGCCCUUGUCAGAUGCUAUCUCAUGAAUGCACAAGUGUUUAGAUCUGUCAGGAAUAAACUAUGAGUAAGACACUGUUCCCUUUCACAGCUCAAUAAACUUGGAUUUCCUAACAUCUGUCAACUUCUGGGUGGCUUGAUUCAACAUUUACGUAACCCUAAUAUGUACUCAAUAAAUAACGCUGACAUGUGGUAAAUAAAGCACUUCAUAGAGCUCUGUCACUACUGAGUUCAGUGUUCACUUGUUGGGAACAUCUUGGUCGUGGUAUUUGUGACCUUCACAACUGCGUGGUGUAUUUGUGACCUUCACCACUGCAUAGUAAAUGACUGACGAUGAUAAGACAUACAUUUGUGAGAGUCAAGCUACAGUGAGUCUUUGAUGGCCUCUGUACUGCAAUAGGCCUAAUAAACACUGACUGUACUUUGACUUUGUUAUCAGAAACCCCAGAGUCAUACUUGAAGAAUCUUUCAAGUAUGUACAACUCACAUUAACAAAGCACAUGUCACUCUAACCCACUUAACGUGUUCAGCAAAUGGAAGUCAGUUUACUCUAACACCGAGAGCUAGAGACCAUGAUAUUACAUUAAAUUAGAUAAAAAAACAGACAACAAUUUUCUGUCCAGUCUUCCCAGCAGAUCUAUUUUCUAUCUUGGGUACAUACCAGAAAUAUGGGCUUUACUGACUACUCCUUAGAAUAUC